AAACUGAAGAGUUUGAUCAUGGCUCAGAUUGAACGCUGGCGGCAGGCUUAACACAUGCAAGUCGAGCGGUAACAUUUCUAGCUUGCUAGAAGAUGACGAGCGGCGGACGGGUGAGUAACGCGUAGAAAUCUGCCUAGUAGUGGGGGAUAGCCCAGAGAAAUUUGGAUUAAUACCGCAUACGCCCUACGGGGGAAAGGAAGGGACCUUCGGGCCUUUCGCUAUUAGAUGAGUCUGCGUCGGAUUAGCUUGUUGGUGAGGUAAUGGCUCACCAAGGCGACGAUCCGUAGCUGGUCUGAGAGGAUGAUCAGCCACACUGGAACUGAGACACGGUCCAGACUCCUACGGGAGGCAGCAGUGGGGAAUAUUGCACAAUGG
rnacentral:rRNA from 1 species